UGUGUUGCCUUAAGUGAAGAUGCCGUCAAGGCUUAAAUGGGAAUCUGGUGAAAAUCCAGAACUGCCCCCGCAACUGUCAUUGCUGACGAAAUGAGCAAACCACUGUAUAACGUGCUUGAAAAAGGUGCUUAUAUGGGAAGGGCUCAAAGUAGGGUGAAGCAUGAGUCAGGAGACCUGUCUUGCUUAAGAUGUUUCA
rnacentral:ncRNA from 2 species